AGCAGCCGCGGUAAUUCCAGCUCCAAUAGCGUAUAUUAAAGUUGUUGCAGUUAAAAAGCUCGUAGUUGAAUUUCGGGAUCAAUAUGCUGGUCGUGCCAUUGGUACGUACUAGUAUUAUUGGUUUCUCCUUUCUGAUGAAUCAUGAUGUCAUUAAUUUGAUGUCAUGAGGAAUCAGGACUGUUACUUUGAAAAAUUAGAGUGUUUAAAGCAGGCUCGCGCUUGAAUACAUUAGCAUGGAAUAAUGAAAUAGGACGUUUGAUUCUAUUUUGUUGGUUUCUAGGAUCGACGUAAUGAUUAAUAGGGAUAGUUGGGGGCAUUAGUAUUCAAUUGUCAGAGGUGAAAUUCUUGGAUUUAUUGAAGACUAACUACUGCGAAAGCAUUUGCCAAGGAUGUUUUCAUUAAUCAAGAACGAAAGUUAGGGGAUCGAAGACGAUCAGAUACCGUCGUAGUCUUAACCAUAAACUAUGCCGACUAGGGAUCGGAUGAUGUUAAUUUUU
rnacentral:misc_RNA from 1 species